rnacentral:rRNA from 1 species
ACGAACGCUGGCGGCGUGCUUAACACAUGCAAGUCGAACGGAAAGGCCCUGCUUUUGUGGGGUGCUCGAGUGGCGAACGGGUGAGUAACACGUGAGUAACCUGCCCUUGACUUUGGGAUAACUUCAGGAAACUGGGGCUAAUACCGGAUAGGAGCUCCUGCUGCAUGGUGGGGGUUGGAAAGUUUCGGCGGUUGGGGAUGGACUCGCGGCUUAUCAGCUUGUUGGUGGGGUAGUGGCUUACCAAGGCUUUGACGGGUAGCCGGCCUGAGAGGGUGACCGGCCACAUUGGGACUGAGAUACGGCCCAGACUCCUACGGGAGGCAGCAGUGGGGAAUAUUGCACAAUGGGCGGAAGCCUGAUGCAUCAACGCCGCGUGCGGGAUGACGGCCUUCGGGUUGUAAACCGCUUUCGCCUGUGACGAAGCGUGAGUGACGGUAAUGGGUAAAGAAGCACCGGCUAACUACGUG